UGACUGAGCGGCGGACGGGUGAGUAACGCGUGGGUAACCUGCCUCAUACAGGGGGAUAACAGUUAGAAAUGACUGCUAAUACCGCAUAAGACCACAGCACCGCAUGGUGCAGAGGUAAAAACUCCGGUGGUAUGAGAUGGACCCGCGUCUGAUUAGCUGGUUGGUGGGGUAACGGCCUACCAAGGCGACGAUCAGUAGCCGGCCUGAGAGGGCGACCGGCCACAUUGGGACUGAGACACGGCCCAAACUCCUACGGGAGGCAGCAGUGGGGAAUAUUGCACAAUGGGGGAAACCCUGAUGCAGCGACGCCGCGUGAAGGAAGAAGUAUUUCGGUAUGUAAACUUCUAUCAGCAGGGAAGAAAAUGACGGUACCUGACUAAGAAGCCCCGGCUAACUACGUGCCAGCAGCCGCGGUAAUACGUAGGGGGCAAGCGUUAUCCGGAUUUACUGGGUGUAAAGGGAGCGUAGACGGAGAGGCAAGUCUGAUGUGAAAACCCGGGGCUCAACCCCGGGACUGCAUUGGAAACUGUUUUUCUAGAGUGUCGGAGAGGUAAGCGGAAUUCCUAGUGUAGCGGUGAAAUGCGUAGAUAUUAGGAGGAACACCAGUGGCGAAGGCGGCUUCCUGGACGAUGACUGACGUUGAGGCUCGAAAGCGUGGGGAGCAAACA
rnacentral:rRNA from 1 species